rnacentral:lncRNA from 1 species
GGCCUCAGCACCGCUGGGCCUCACACAGAGCUCUGUCCGCAGCCGACCGCUGUAAGGAGGUGCAGCAGAUCCGUGACCAGCACCCCAGCAAGAUCCCGGUGAUCAUCGAGCGCUACAAGGGUGAGAAGCAGCUGCCUGUCCUGGAUAAGACCAAGUUUCUGGUCCCAGACCAUGUUAACAUGAGCGAGUUGGUCAAGAUCAUCCGGCGCCGCCUGCAACUCAACCCCACGCAGGCCUUCUUCCUGCUGGUGAACCAGCACAGCAUGGUGAGUGUAUCCACACCCAUCGCUGACAUCUAUGAACAGGAGAAGGAUGAAGACGGAUUCCUCUACAUGGUCUAUGCCUCCCAAGAAACCUUCGGCUUCUGAGUCAAGAGGAGGGGUGGGGGGUGGCUGGGAGUUCUGGUCAGGUUCUCCCCAGGGAGGUCCUGCCUCCUAAACUAAGCUAUUUCGGCCCCGGGUGGAUUAGGCAGAGAUGUGACACCCCCUCCCCCCAGGUAGGGGCCACCAGCCAGCAUACCAAGUCCUGGGUAGGUCCUGGGCCAGUCUUGUUAGGCUUGCUCUUUUGGGUGCUGGCUGGGUUGGGAGUGGGUGGGGAGCAGCAUCCCUGCCCCGUGGGGUUUGUCUUUUUUUUAGGCCCUUGCCUGUCUACCCAUCUUGCCCCUCAUCCACCUGAGGCUUUGCCCCCUGACAGGACCUGCCCCACCCCUGAAAG